CCCUUAGAUGUUCUGGGCCGCACGCGCGCUACACUGACGAUGGCAACGAGUUUUUCCUUCGCCGAAAGGUGUGGGUAAUCUUUUGAAACAUCGUCGUGCUGGGGAUAGAUCAUUGCAAUUUUUGAUCUUGAACGAGGAAUACCUUGUAAGCGCGGGUCAUCAUCCCGCGCUGAAUACGUCCCUGCCCUUUGUACACACCGCCCGUCGCUCCUACCGAUUGAGUGGUCCGGUGAGGCUUUGGGAUCUGAGCGGAAAGAGCGUUUCGCUGUUUCUGCCCGGAAAACUCAGUCGAACCUUAUCAUUUAGAGGAAGGAGAAGUCGUAACA
rnacentral:rRNA from 1 species